rnacentral:misc_RNA from 1 species
AACACUGUUAACCUGCGGUACCUGCGGAGGGAUCAUUACCGAGUUUACAACUCCCAAACCCCUGUGAACAUACCUAUACGUUGCCUCGGCGGAUCAGCCCGCGCCCCGUAAAAAGGGACGGCCCGCCCGAGGACCCCUAAACUCUGUUUUUAGUGGAACUUCUGAGUAAAACAAACAAAUAAAUCAAAACUUUCAACAAUGGAUCU